CAUAAUUCAUUUCAGCUUUAAAUCUAUCAUUCGUCAUUUUACUCAAUAGAUCAAUACAGCACCGCUUGAGGGAAAAAUUUUGUCUAACUAAGAAAAUUGUUAACAUCAUUCGGAAAGACAAUUCAACGAUGGAUUUGGCUGAAGUCUUCAACGGAACCGAGAUCACAACCAAUGCAAUUGAAACAGUUUCGAACAGCGCUGCUCAAGUCUUCAUGAAUGACUUUCUCGUGGUGAUCAACUCUUUCGUCACGCCCCUGGCAGGUGUGAUUGGACUGAUUUUGAACACCCUCGGGGUACUGACCCUCCUGCAUAUGGGCAUCAACUCUUCCUCUAUGGUG